rnacentral:rRNA from 1 species
GACGAACGCUGGCGGCGUGCUUAACACAUGCAAGUCGAACGGAAAGGCCCUGCUUUUGUGGGGUGCUCGAGUGGCGAACGGGUGAGUAACACGUGAGUAACCUGCCCUUGACUUUGGGAUAACUUCAGGAAACUGGGGCUAAUACCGGAUAGGAGCUCCUGCUGCAUGGUGGGGGUUGGAAAGUUUCGGCGGUUGGGGAUGGACUCGCGGCUUAUCAGCUUGUUGGUGGGGUAGGGGCUUACCAAGGCUUUGACGGGUAGCCGGCCUGAGAGGGUGACCGGCCACAUUGGGACUGAGAUACGGACCAGACUCCUACGGGAGGCAGCAGUGGGGAAUAUUGCACAAUGGGCGGAAGCCUGAUGCAGCAACGCCGCGUGCGGGAUGACGGCCUUCGGGUUGUAAACCGCUUUCGCCUGUGACGAAGCGUGAGUGACGGUAAUGGGUAAAGAAGCACCGGCUAACUACGUG